rnacentral:rRNA from 1 species
UGCGUAGGUGGUCUUGUAAGUCAGAAGUGAAAGGCUACGGCUUAACCGUAGUAAGCUUUUGAAACUGCAGGACUUGAGUGCAGGAGAGGAAAGUGGAAUUCCUAGUGUAGCGGUGAAAUGCGUAGAUAUUAGGAGGAACACCAGUGGCGAAGGCGACUUUCUGGACUGUUACUGACACUGAGGCACGAAAGCGUGGGGAGCAACA